GGCGGUUCUCAGGUGAUGCACCCCAGAAUCAGUCUCCCUCCUUUCUGGUUCCAGGUGCGUCACCCAAGAACCGAG
rfam:Myotis lucifugus cont2.60688, whole genome shotgun sequence.